CCUACGGGUGGCUGCAGUGGGGAAUAUUGCACAAUGGGGGAAACCCUGAUGCAGCGACGCCGCGUGAGUGAAGAAGUAUUUCGGUAUGUAAAGCUCUAUCAGCAGGGAAGAAAAUGGCGGUACCUGAUUAAGAAGCCCCGGCUAACUACGUGCCAGCAGCCGCGGUAAUACGUAGGGGGCAAGCGUUAUCCGGAUUUAUUGGGUUUAAAGGGUGCGUAGGCGGAAGGUUAAGUCAGCGGUAAAAUGUCGGGGCUCAACCCCGGCCGGCCGUUGAAACUGGUGUUCUAGAGUUGGAGAGAAGUAUGCGGAAUUCGUGGUGUAGCGGUGAAAUGCAUAGAUAGCACGAAGAACUCCGAUUGCGAAGGCAGCAUACCGGCUCCAUACUGACGCUGAGGCACGAAAGCGUGGGGAUCGAACAGGAUUAGAUACCCCUGUAGUC
rnacentral:rRNA from 1 species